rnacentral:rRNA from 1 species
GACGAACGCUGGCGGCGUGCUUAACACAUGCAAGUCGAACGGAAAGGCCCUGCUUUUGUGGGGUGCUCGAGUGGCGAACGGGUGAGUAACACGUGAGUAACCUGCCCUUGACUUUGGGAUAACUUCAGGAAACUGGGGCUAAUACCGGAUAGGAGCUCCUGCUGCAUGGUGGGGGUUGGAAAGUUUCGGCGGUUGGGGAUGGACUCGCGGCUUAUCAGCUUGUUGGUGGGGUAGUGGCUUACCAAGGCUUUGACGGGUAGCCGGCCUGAGAGGGUGACCGGCCACAUUGGGACUGAGAUACGGCCCAGACUCCUACGGGAGGCAGCAGUGGGGAAUAUUGCACAAUGGGCGGAAGCCUGAUGCACCAACGCCGCGUGCGGGAUGACGGCCUUCGGGUUGUAAACCGCUUUCGCCUGUGACGAAGCGUGAGUGACGGUAAUGGGUAAAGAAGCACCGGCUAACUACGUG